rnacentral:rRNA from 1 species
GACGAACGCUGGCGGCGUGCUUAACACAUGCAAGUCGAACGGAAAGGCCCUGCUUUUGUGGGGUGCUCGAGUGGCGAACGGGUGAGUAACACGUGAGUAACCUGCCCUUGACUUUGGGAUAACUUCAGGAAACUGGGGCUAAUACCGGAUAGGAGCUCCUGCUGCAUGGUGGGGGUUGGAAAGUUUCGGCGGUUGGGGAUGGACUCGCGGCUUAUCAGCUUGUUGGUGGGGUAGUGGCUUACCAAGGCUUUGACGGGUAGCCGGCCUGAGAGGGUGACCGGCCACAUUGGGACUGAGAUACGGCCCAGACUCCUACGGGAGGCAGCAGUGGGGAAUAUUGCACAAUGGGCGGAAGCCUGAUGCAGCAACGCCGCGUGCGGGAUGACGGCCUUCGGGUUGUAAACCGCUUUCCCUGUGACGAAGCGUGAGUGACGGUAAUGGGUAAAGAAGCACCGGCUAACUACGUGCCAGCAGCCGCGGUGAUACGUAGGGUGCGAGCGUUGUCCGGAUUUAUUGGGCGUAAAGGGCUCGUAGGUGGUUGAUCGCGUCGGAAGUGUAAUCUUGGGGCUUAACCCUGAGCGUGCUUUCGAUACGGGUUGACUUGAGGAAGGUAGGGGGGAAUGGAAUUCCUGGUGGAGCGGUGGAAUGCGCAGAUAUCAGGAGGAACACCAGUGGCGAAGGCGGUUCUCUGGGCCUUUCCUGACGCUGAGGAGCGAAAGCGUGGGGAGCGAACAGGCUUAGAUACCCUGGUAGUCCACGCUGUAAACGGUGGGUACUAGGUGUGGGGUCCAUUCCACGGGUUCCGCGCCGUAGCUAACGCUUUAAGUACCCCGCCUGGGGAGUACGGCCGCAAGGCUAAAACUCAAAGGAAUUGACGGGGCCCCGCACAAGCGGCGGAGCAUGCGGAUUAAUUCGAUGCAACGCGUAGAACCUUACCUGGGUUUGACAUGGGUCGGGAGUGCUCAGAGAUGGGUGUGCCUCUUUUGGGGUCGGUUCACAGGUGGUGCAUGGCUGUCGUCAGCUCGUGUCGUGAGAUGUUGGGUUAAGUCCCGCAACGAGCGCAACCCUUGUUCACUGUUGCCAGCACGUUAUGGUGGGGACUCAGUGGAGACCGCCGGGGUCAACUCGGAGGAAGGUGAGGAUGACGUCAAGUCAUCAUGCCCCUUAUGUCCAGGGCUUCACGCAUGCUACAAUGGCUGGUACAGAGAGUGGCGAGCCUGUGAGGGUGAGCGAAUCUCGGAAAGCCGGUCUCAGUUCGGAUUGGGGUCUGCAACUCGACCUCAUGAAGUCGGAGUCGCUAGUAAUCGCAGAUCAGCAACGCUGCGGUGAAUACGUUCCCGGG